CCUUGUUUGAUAAGACCAAGAAAUGUUAGUCUACCGAUGUAGUAUACUACCCAAACUAUGACUUCAUAUAAUUGUGUCUCAUUGUGAUUGGUUGAGAUUAGUUUUUGUCCUAUAAAUGAUAUCGACCACUCAUUAUGAUAGAAAUUCAGAGUCCAAGCUAAGACCGUAAUAUAGUGUUCGAGUACGAGGACUUAAGUUAAUUGGUCUAUGAUAGUUUUAAGAUAGAUUCAUAGGAAAGUGUUAUUCAUGUGAUAGGUAACAAGAAAUGGGUUGAUGACUAUUUUAGUCUUUGGAAAAAAGAAUACCCCGUAGAUGAGCCCUAGGAAUGAGGUAGGAGUAAUGAACCGCCGCAAAAGGACGAGGGAACUUAUUCUCAAGUAAAUCUCGUGUAUAUAAAUUGGAAUUAGGAAUCCAAUUGAUAUGAGG
rnacentral:lncRNA from 1 species